UAUGAACGAGUGGUUGGAGGGGGUGUGACUGCCCUGAGCUCUGUCGUUCCGACUGGACAGCUCGGAAGCUGGAGGAAGCUCACGGGGCGUAGUCCGGCUGCGUGUGAGGAAGAGUGGAGGCGUGUACCGACUUGGGCGAGAUGACUUUCUGCCCCGGCCUUCCUGCUUGGUGCCUCGCCCCGGCCUCCAGAGCCCUGAUCUCGGUUUGACUGAUGCCAGCCAACCUACAGCGGAGAGUGACAGGUAGUGAAGUGGCAUGCGUUCGGGAGAAUUCUGGGACUCUCAGAACUCGAACCUCUGCAAUCUUGGAGUCUCUCUGGCUGGUGUCUCUCGGACCCUCCAGCUCUCUUCUGCCCUCCUAGGGACUCGCGCUCGGUCGUAAUCUGGGAUGUGCGUGGUUUUCUGUUCAGCAUUUACUAAUGGUGGGAAGGCCGGAAUCUCCAGGUGAUGCCCGCUUUGCGCGCUGCGCUCGGUGAAGGCCUCUGACCAAGGGCUUAGAAUAGAGAACCAAGGCAAGCUACUUCCUCGUUAGUAUAGUGUCUCAGCUUGAAAUUGAGCAAGGAACUUUCAGCCUCCCCCCACCCUCUACACGACGCGCGGUCCCAGGCCGAUGCCCUCACGGUCCGGGAUGUCAAGACUGCUUUUUUGUUUGUUUUCGUUCGCCUCCUCCUUCUUGUGUCUGAUUUGCAAGGGGAGCGGGCAGAGCAGGCGGUCCCGGCCCAGGUCCCGGCGCGCUGUUCUCGCUGGGAGAAGCCUGCGAGGGCGCAUCUAUCAAGAGUAGGGCUUUUGGGAACCUACGGCUGGGCGGAGAUGGCAGGCGUAGGAGAGCAGGUCCCCUGGAAGGGAGCGAUCCUCAUGACACCCCUCGUUGCCCAACACAGGGACUCAGGGAACGAGAGGAAAAUAUAAAUUAAAAAAAAAAAAAAAGAGG